AAUGUGCUGUUAUAAACUUGAGUUGGGUCGAGCAAGAGUUCCUGCUUGUUAAUUGUACAUGUAAAGUUCUGUUUUGAAGUAAUGUAUGUACCAGGAAAGGAUCAGUCAGGUUGAGUGCCUUCCGAAUGACAUGGCGGCAUGGCAAGAGCUACCAUGUCUUUGUUCCUCAACAAUGUUAAAGUUCCAAGCCAAUUUUCAGGAAAAAAUCUUGAAUGCUAAAAACAGGCGUAUAACAUUGGAAAGCUCAGCUUAACGUAGAAGCCUGAAGAUCGCAGAGGAUUGUUACCUUCCAGGUGCAGUAAAAGCGAUUCAAAGGACCAAAUACUACAGGUUUACACCGCAUCAUAAAAUGUAAACCAUGGUGUACAAAAGGAUGUGUAAGCGACUGCGGCAUACCAACCGAAAGAAGCCAGAACGCGACAUAAACAGAGCUAACGGCUGUGUUCGUAGCAGAGAGCGAACUGUUUCCAGUUUGUAAAGUGACCGUUAUCAAACGUUCCUCCUUAUUCGUGUCUAUACCAAAUGGCUGAUCUCAAGGUUGGCUUCUACAACAUUCCAAAUGAACAAACUAAUAUGAGGAUCCGGAGAUAAACAUUUACCGCGCAUUCUCAGAACUAACAUCUUCCCAGGAUUCGAAGCUCACGCAAUAAAUAGAAACUCCAAAAGCACUGUUCGAACGUUGACUUUGAUCACAAGAUAGUCCAAAGGUAAGUAACAAGUGCAUACGGAAUACAAAAUGUAGUAGACUUUCCUUUCAGCGUAGCCUACUCUAGAACAACAAUAAUCUGAAAAAUGUUCGGAAACCAAUUCCCAAAAAGUAUAUUUAAUAGGCAUAUGAAUAACGAUUAACGAAGUAAACAAACUCGAAGUGCCCUGAUGUGUUAUGCAAGUGAAGAUGGAGUGGGAGCUAAAAUCUGUUCACAAGAUAUAAGGUGGCAUUAAAAGUUGUUUUGAAGUUGUAGCAAUAUAUAAUGGGAAGUCAUUGUACCUGAUUCGUGAGCAUUUCUGUUGACGGUGAUUUGAUUCAAACGCCUUGCAGUGUCACGGUGAUGGCGGACACAGUUGUUUAUUUACAACUACUUUUGCUAUAAACAAAACAAGUUCCCUAGUGUUCUAAGUGAACAACUACGUAUUUAACUGUCACAUUCUAGAGAAAUUAUUCCUUUAUAGUUCCCAUUAGCAUAUAGUCGUUGGAAAUUUGGGCAUAACUCAAGGCAGCAGGGGAUUGGAUAGGAGUAACAUAACAUCGUUACAGGCAAAUCGACAGGGGUGAAAAAAACUGGUCUAAAUUAGAACUACAGAACUACAAUUCUGUAUUUACUUUUAAUGCUAGAAAUCCAUCAUUCAAUUAUUUUGAUCAGGAAAGGGUAAUUCAUCUUUUUCCCACUGUUUUAACAGAGAUGGAGUCGACGAAGAUCGUUUUCCUUGUCCUGGUAUUUAUUACACAGAAAAUGUCUACAGCCACCACUGCAACAAAUUCAUCUACACCAAGGUUUAGGAUAAGCCACGCGACAAUCUUGAUCAAACUUAUCAUUAUUCCUGCAAUACACAACGCCACUGUUCAGGUUACGGUCAGAAAACCUUCAAAAUUCAUGAUUACUUUGCUUAUUGCUAAACGUGCUGGACUUAAUUCAUAUGAAAGAGAAAGAUUAAACCACAAUUUCAAUUUAUCGCGAAUUUAGCCUUUUGAUGUGAUUCUAUGCUGGCUUAAACUUUAAUGGGUUAAAGCUUCAAUCAUUCAAGGUCUGUGCUAAGUUUGGUUUUUUCAAAUCGUUCAGAACAAUCAUUUCUUUUGGUAAUAAUCUGAAGGCUUUGUGAGUCAUAAAACAUUCUCAAUUCGUUACAGUAAAAAAAAAAAAACAGUCGUAAAAAACUACAUUAGGCAAUCUGCUAACUGAAAAUGUUCAUGUGUUUUCUUACAGAUGAAGUUGCUGUACCCUUUCAUUACUUCUUCGGACUAUUUUUACGAGCCUCCUAUUACUCUCGGUCUCAAUCUUGGGAAAGACUGCACUAAAGAGAAGAUGAUGAUAUUCUGAUAUCUUCGGCUGGAGCCACAGCAUUAUGCUGUUGCUUUGAUGGACAUAGACAAUACUGCUACAUCAAAAUGGACAGAUCAAAACAUGAACAUCAUUUUGUUAUUUCUUCCCAAGUAUCAAAAUAGUGAUCUAGUCACAUGUUUCUUCUGUCACGCUCAUUCCAUUUUGUCACAGUUGCAAGGCAAAAUUACGUUUUAAAGCCUUCAGAAAAAGAGAUAAGUUGAGAGAACGUUUGCGAUUACAAUUUGUUAAGUGAAAUAUACUGAUCAGUAUUUAGGUUUAAAAUCUUUGUGUUUUUUACUUCUUACAUUUAAUAGCAAAAGCAGGGCUUUUUUUAAGAAUACGUUUAUGAAAAUAGUUUGAAUGGUUGACGAGAAAAUUGUAGUCAUUAUACUUUAUAGGAAGUUGGAAAGAAGCUUAGUGUACUGCACUCACAGUUAGCUGUUUUCAAGCGCCCUUUGAACUUCGUUGUCCUGUACGUAACUUCUCAGGGACGUAAUCAUACUAGCUUGGCAUCAGUUCUGAGGACGAUGAGUGUUAUGGUUAAUGCCACAGUAUCUUUUAUCAGAUAUCAGAUGAGACAAGAAGGAAUCUGGCCACCAGAAUAUCCUGUAAUAUCUGAAGCUCAGUUCAAUAACAUUACAGGAACUUACCUGAAAACCUUGGUCAGAAGGAACCUUGUGACAUUGACGAUAACAGAUGAUGUUGUGAAACGAUUGCGAAACUUCGUAAUCUUAUACACACUUCACGACGUCUUGAUACAGGUUUCGCCCUGUACUUAUGGCACGACUAAAAGAAAAAGUAAAAAAUCAAGAGAUGGCCCCUAGAAUUUUACGGGCACUUUAUCUUCGAAUAUCGGCUCCUGAAUAUGCCAAUGACAAGUAUACCUGACCUAACAGCUUACCGCUUUUAGUUUGCCUCUUGAGAUGCGGCAUGGAAACUCCAUUGAUUUUGGGAUUUUGAUAAUCUGCUGAUAAACUAUUGUUUCAUGUGCAUGCUACUCACGAAGAGACUCGAAAAUAAUUUCUAGUAAAUGAUGUCUUAAGUUUUAAUUUAUUUUAAAUGUGACGAGCAACUAUCGUUUGAUGGCUUAUUCUCUUCAAACAUGUGGACUGUUAAUGUGACCGAUAAUGCCUAACACCGUGACAUGAACUCAAGGAAACACGGAUAAUGCGACGCUCUUCUCGUGAGCUUUGAUCAAUAUUAUGAGAUCGAUUCCUAUUAAAAAACAUCUUCUAUGAAA
rnacentral:misc_RNA from 1 species